rnacentral:lncRNA from 10 species
AAAAGUCUUCCAAGCAAGAAGCCAGGAGAAGAAAUGCCACCCAACCUCCUCAGUUUUGUAUUUAUUUGACUGAUAAAAGAAAAACUUCAGCUGAAUUAAAUUUAAAGAAGUUUAACUGAACAACCAACGAUUCACGAAUCAAGCAGCUUUCCCAGCCAGAGUAGGCUCAGAGACUCCAGCACAGCCACAUGGGAGAAGAUUUAUGGACAGAAAAAGGAAAGUGAGGCACAGAAGCAACUAGAUUGGUUACAGGUUGGCAUUUGCCUUAUUUCAACAUGUUCAAACAAUUGGCUACAUUUGGCCAAAACUCAAUGAUUGGCACAAGUGUAAGCUACGGUCUGUUUACACCUCCACUUGUUAUAGUUCACAAUGUACAGAAAAACCUUUAAGUCGAACUUAAAAUACGUACAGAGGCAACUUUAGGCUAAACUUGAUUUAACAGGACUUUGGAGAAUUGUUAAUUUGAGUAUAUUAGGAAUAUAGCCAUUUUGUGUAUAAAAAAGCUAUGCGUGGUUUUACAGGAACCUAGUUCAAGAAAAAUCAGACAUAUAAAACAGACUAAUAAGGAAGUGCUUACUCUGAUUAGAAAAUUAUUCACCUUACAGGAUAAUUUGCAUCAGAGUUCAUUUUAUCUGUGUGCAUCCGAAAUAUGAUUUUGUAUUAAAAGUG